rnacentral:rRNA from 1 species
AGUGAACGCUGGCGGUAGGCCUAACACAUGCAAGUCGAACGGCAGCACAGUAAGAGCUUGCUCUUACGGGUGGCGAGUGGCGGACGGGUGAGGAAUACAUCGGAAUCUACUUUUUCGUGGGGGAUAACGUAGGGAAACUUACGCUAAUACCGCAUACGACCUACGGGUGAAAGCAGGGGAUCUUCUGACCCUGCGCGAUUGAAUGAGCCGAUGUCGGAUUAGCUAGUUGGCGGGGUAAAGGCCCACCAAGGCGACGAUCCGUAGCUGGUCUGAGAGGAUGAUCAGCCACACUGGAACUGAGACACGGUCCAGACUCCUACGGGAGGCAGCAGUGGGGAAUAUUGGACAAUGGGCGAAAGCCUGAUCCAGCCAUACCGCGUGGGUGAAGAAGGCCUUCGGGUUGUAAAGCCCUUUUGUUGGGAAAGAAAAGCAGCAGGUUAAUACCACGCUGUUCUGACGGUACCCAAAGAAUAAGCACCGGCUAACUUCGUG